GACGAACGCUGGCGGCGUGCUUAACACAUGCAAGUCGAACGGAAAGGCCCUGCUUUUGUGGGGUGCUCGAGUGGCGAACAGGUGAGUAACACGUGAGUAACCUGCCCUUGACUUUGGGAUAACUUCAGGAAACUGGGGCUAAUACCGGAUAGGAGCUCCUGCUGCAUGGUGGGGGUUGGAAAGUUUCGGCGGUUGGGGAUGGACUCGCGGCUUAUCAGCUUGUUGGUGGGGUAGUGGCUUACCAAGGCUUUGACGGGUAGCCGGCCUGAGAGGGUGACCGGCCACAUUGGGACUGAGAUACGGCCCAGACUCCUACGGGAGGCAGCAGUGGGGAAUAUUGCACAAUGGGCGGAAGCCUGAUGCAGCAACGCCGCGUGCGGGAUGACGGCCUUCGGGUUGUAAACCGCUUCCGCCUGUGACGAAGCGUGAGUGACGGUAAUGGGUAAAGAAGCACCGGCUAACUACGUG
rnacentral:rRNA from 1 species